UACGUAGGGCGCAAGCGUUAUCCGGAAUUAUUGGGCGUAAAGAGCUCGUAGGCGGUUUGUCGCGUCUGCCCGGUGAAAGUCCGGGGCUCAACUCCGGAUCUGCGGUGGGUACGGGCAGACUAGAGUGAUGUAGGGGAGACUGGAAUUCCCGGUGUAGCGGUGAAAUGCGCAGAUAUCGGGAGGAACACCGGUGGCGAAGGCGGU
rnacentral:rRNA from 1 species